AAAAAGGCAAACCAUGGGUUUCCGUGUACAACUUUGACUGUCCGUCUUAUAUAAAAUUUUUUUAUAAUUCGUAUUUUUAUUGUUGUUAGAUGAUAAAACAUGAUUAAUAUUUUAUGCGUGACUUGUCUUUUUAAUUUUUUUCAUAUUUUUUUCAAAUAAGACGACAGUCAAACGUUGUGCACGGAAAUCAGGGUUUAUCUUUUU
rfam:Oryza glumipatula chromosome 1, whole genome shotgun sequence.